GAAUGAUGUGGGGUCAUUUCUGAGCAAGGUAAAUUACAAAUGAUUUGAGUAGAAAUAGAAGUUUUGUUAUUUUUCUCUUGAAACUAAGAACUCCCUUCUUAAGAGGCUUGAGGAACAAAACGCCUUUGAAGUUUCUGCAGACAUGGUGUUACAGAAGGCACAGGGGCUGCUUGAAGCUGCUUGGAGGUUUAGAGCGUCAAAGUCAUGUCAGCAGAGAUGGAUUAGUGGGCAGAGAGCAAGUGGUGCAGUCAAAGGAUCACAGUGAAUGUAAUUUAUUCACGUAGCUCCGCAAUUUAUC